GAGUAUAAAAGUGUUGUCAGCAGCAGCUGUGUGCACCUGAGACAGCCUAUAAUGAACUUUCGAGCUGAAAAUGAAGAAGGUCUCGAGAGCUUAGAUUUUUAGUAAUUUCAGAGAGAUUCAUUGUUGAUUUAAGCUGCAUUUAAUCUCUGAUAUCAUCAUGAAGAAGGUGCAAAUUUAGUAGAGGUUACAUGUUGUAGAUUUCUGGUGCAAGAAGGAGGCUUGGAGGUUCAAAAAUAGUUUUAGCUACUUCUGGGGGCUAAGCAUGGUUGCAUCUACACAACCAAAAUCAAGCUGAGGGAACCUUCGGUUGCUGGAAAUUUGAAUUAUUAUAAAGCUGUGUUUCGUAUAUGCUGGGAGCUAAUACUGAAAAACUGAAACUACUGAAGUUGUUCAGCCAUGGAUUAAUAAGAGAUGACUUGAACUUACAAAAAUUGAAUGUCUUAUGGCAAGAAUUUUGAAGCACAUCCAUUAUGAAGUACUUGAAGCCAGAGGCCUCCUCACUCAUGAUGGAAGACCUAAUCUAGAUCACAUAAAAAGUCCCUUUAAGCAGUUGGACAAAAGUAAUGAUGGACAUAUAGAGCAAUCUGAACUAAAAAACCUGAUUCAAAACAUUAACUUCGGAAUAGAACUGGACCAUAAUGGGGUGGUGGCAAAAGUGACGACGGAAUUUGAUGAAGAUGGUAACCAUAUGAUAGAAGAGAAAGAAUUUGUGAAUGGAAUCAGGAAAUGGAUUAAUGAGGCUUCCCGUGUGUCCGGAUGCAAGGACUCAGAAAGGUUUAUUGAUGAAUUUGAUCAGGUAGUCGUUACAACAACUCAUUUGUUACUGAUUUAGUCAUGUUUGAAUUUACACAAUUUUGUAGUUCCUAAGUUAAUGAGUAUGCCAUUGAAUUUUUUUUUCUUC